rnacentral:rRNA from 1 species
AAUAUUUGUCAAUGGGCGAGAGCCUGAACCAGCCAAGUAGCGUGCAGGAUGACGGCCCUACGUGUUGUACACUGCUUUUUCUGGGGAAUAACCGGCGUCACGUGUGGCGCCAUGCAUGUACCCGGUGAAUAAGGACCGGCUAAUUCCGUGCCCGCAGCCGCGGUAAUACGGAAGGUCCGAGCGUUAUCCGGAUUUAUUGGGUUUAAAGGGUGCGUAGGCGGGAGAACAAGUCAGCCGUGAAAUCGCGUGGCUCAACCACGCCUAGCGGUUGAAACUGUUUUUCUUGAGUACGGUGAGGGAAGGCGGAAUUCGUGGUGUAGCGGUGAAAUGCAUAGAUAUCACGAAGAACUCCGAUCGCGUAGGCAGCUUUCCGUACCGGUUACUGACGCUGAGGCACGAAGGUGCGGGUAUCGAAC